UCAUUGCAAGCAAAACCGUGAAGCCUUUACGAUUGCACUGUUUGAGACCUUCUGCUCCACGCAAUACAAGUCUCAAAUUUGCAUCACUCAGGAGAAGGAAAUCUAUCUGUGUUUAAGUUUCUUAAAUUUAUGUUGUGAUGUACCAACGCCUUCUGUCUACCUUCAUAUGUAACUCUUUGUUUUUGUUCGGUUUCAGCAUUUGCACGGCAGGAAAAAUAAAGGGUUACGUAAGGGAGAUGAGAAAGCGGAUAUUAGUCGCGGAGCGUAGAUGUGUGGUUAUAAUUUGAAGAAUUUGAGAGUGGUCAUAAAAGGAAAAGGAAAUGAGAAGUAAGAAGGAGGUCAGAAAGGUUUGACCCAAUUCACUUGAGUAACUCUUAACGCAAACAAGGGGUUGUGAGUUCAAGUCUCAUAGCCUAUAGGUGUUUCCAUUGUCGCAAUUGCUCAGCCCAACAUGUGUGAAUGUCACUCUACAUUAUGUUCUGACACUGGGCAUCGACUCAGAUCUCAACUGGUUCAUGGGGGUUGCAUGGUCUUACAUAUUACCCGCAGUUUACCAGGUAGUUGUCCGGUGAGCAGUUGAGUGAUUUCCACGUUACAAGGUUGGGCUCACACAUAUAAACACAUCGUUGGCCUACACGAAAUUGAUGUCUGACUUUUUACAAAUCUUUAACAUUCAUUCGCACUUCUGAGCUCGGUUAUGCAAAGCCUAACAAAUGGAUUAUAUGGAAAGUCAUUAGGAUCAAGUGUAUACUUUCAAUACCAUGUUAUAAUUUGAAUAAUUUGAUAGAUUAGAAAAAGUAGGUGAGAGAGGUUUGACUCAAUUCAAUUGAGGUAUUGUUUAUGCUAUGGGCCCAAGGCAGGUUUUGUCCUUUAAAAGAUACAUCAGUUGUUAAAAGAUUGGGCUCACACUUAUAAAUCACUUGCAUUGUUGAUUUACACUAAAUCGAUGUGAGAUUUUUUACAAAUUUUAACAAUAUCAGAGACAACGGGGGUUAAAGAAAAGUGAGGGAGAGGUUUGAGCCUUGAGAGAUUCAGUAAGUAACCAUCCAAAAGCGUCUAAAUUUGAUGUUCAAAAUCAUUAAAGCGAGGGCUUAAAAAGACUCUGCUUUGGUCACUCAACUCAUUCGCUCUCUCCUGUUACUUUUCCCUUGCUAACUUCAUAUGAAGCUUUCUCAUUCAAAAUUUUUUUCUACUUUCAAGUCUCAAGCCAAGUAGAAGGAAUCUAUUGAAAAAAAAAGGUUCUCAAUUACAGUAAGUUCACAAAAUCCUAAUACCUAAAAAAAUUAAAAAGAAAAAUUACAUGAACAAUUCAAAUUAGCGUAAUAGAUGGAACUCUUAGAGCUUUAGGGUUUUAGACGAUGGGGAUUGGUUCUUCAUCUAGUGAAAUAUUCCCACAAUUCCAUGGACGUAGAUUUGUUCUGGUCAAACCACGUAAAUAUCCGUGUGCUCAUAUUUUCUCUACUUGCUUUUAUUUCUCUUAUUAUUGUGUGAUAAUUACUUGUUGGAUAGGACAACUUUCAAUCGAUUGGUUUAUUUUCAGUCGUUGUUCUCCGAGGUGCUAUCUUGUGGUGUGUUUCGCUGCACUGUGCCCCAACAAUGGAUAUUAGGGUGGAGAUGGAACUUUUGAUGGUACACAAACAAGUAUGUUUACAAACAUAGUCAUUAUCAUGAACUCAAUUUUGUUUUAGAUGGACUUGACUAUUUUAUGUUGGGUAUACACAUAUAUUAAAGUCUUAUAUUGAUUAACCAUGAGAAGCGCAGCGGUUCCACUGCCGUCGCUAUGGUGUUUGGUAUGGCGUUGGACUUCAACGGGCCGCACAACAGAACCGCUUAGUCCAACGCCUUACCAAACAUGCGGAUAUGCUAUCUGGCAUAAACCGCCAGAGCAUGUAUGUGUAUAAAAAAAAA